AGCUCAAGCGUGGGCACAAACUGAACACAAAAUGGACAAGCCCCUGUACAAAAACAUAACUCUAAGGGAAUGGAUAAUGAGAUGAAGAUGAUGAGAUGAAAAGAGAUAAUGGGACAAAAAGAGAGUGAACUUUCAUUUUCUUCUGUUCUUCUUCCUCAGAUGUCACUUCUUUCAUUGCAACCUCUGUUAUUGGACCAUGGAAAGGAGAUCCUCCCUGUGGUUGCAGGUGCCAGCACAUUACCUUGUUAUUUAGAAUGUAUCAAACAUACAGAAAAG